GCCAUCUUCAGGCUCCGCCUGCGGCAGUUCUAGAGUUCGUAGAUGGUGGAGAUUUCAGCUUUAUAUUCUAUUACAUUGUGUUUUGGAGGUGGCCUUCUCUGUGAGGACUGAGCUUCUCAGUUGUCCCUGUUAGUUGCCACGCUCAAACUGACUGGAGUGAGGAAUGUCCAGCAGUGUAAUGGCACACCAGCAACUCCCCAGUGAGCGUCCAGGCCCUGGUCCCUCCUGCUCUGUGGCUUCCAUCUUCUUGGGCUGUGCAGCUGCUGGAUCUCCUGGCUCUCUUUGGUGCAGACAGCCAUUGUGAACUCUCCUGGGUCCAAUCCUGAAAAUGAGUUUCCAGGGAACCCAAGGUAUAGAAAACCAACCCCCACUUCUUUUUCCACAGGCC